GACGAACGCUGGCGGUGUGCUUAACACAUGCAAGUCGAACGGUAAGGCCCUUUCGGGGGUACACGAGUGGCGAACGGGUGAGUAGCACGUGAGUAACCUGCCCUCAUCUCUGGGAUAACAGUCGGAAACGGUUGCUAAUACUGGAUAUGAGCUUGCAAGGCAUCUUGUGGGUUGGAAAGAUUUUUUUGGUUGGGGAUGGACUCGCGGCCUAUCAGCUUGUUGGUGAGGUAGUGGCUCACCAAGGCUUCGACGGGUAGCCGGCCUGAGAGGGCGACCGGCCACAUUGGGACUGAGAUACGGCCCAAACUCCUACGGGAGGCAGCAGUGGGGAAUAUUGCACAAUGGACGGAAGUCUGAUGCAGCAACGCCGCGUGCGGGAUGACGGCCUUCGGGUUGUAAACCGCUUUCAAUUGUGACGAAGCUUUUUGUGACGGUAGCAGUAGAAGAAGCACCGGCUAACUACGUG
rnacentral:rRNA from 1 species